UACGGGGGGGGCAAGCGUUGUUCGGAAUUACUGGGCGUAAAGGGCGCGUAGGCGGUUGGAUAAGUCAGCUGUGAAAACCACGGGCUUAACUCGUGGCCUGCAGUUGAGACUGUCUGGCUUGAGUGUGGGAGAGGAGAGUGGAAUUCCUGGUGUAGCGGUGAAAUGCGUAGAUAUCAGGAGGAACACCGGUGGCGAAGGCGGGUCUCUGGGCCGAUAUUGACGCUGAGGAGCGAAAGCGUGGGGAGCGAACAGG
rnacentral:rRNA from 1 species